GAUGAACGCUGGCGGCGUGCCUAAUACAUGCAAGUCGAGCGAACAGACGAGGAGCUUGCUCCUCUGACGUUAGCGGCGGACGGGUGAGUAACACGUGGAUAACCUACCUAUAAGACUGGGAUAACUUCGGGAAACCGGAGCUAAUACCGGAUAAUAUAUUGAACCGCAUGGUUCAAUAGUGAAAGACGGUUUUGCUGUCACUUAUAGAUGGAUCCGCGCCGCAUUAGCUAGUUGGUAAGGUAACGGCUUACCAAGGCGACGAUGCGUAGCCGACCUGAGAGGGUGAUCGGCCACACUGGAACUGAGACACGGUCCAGACUCCUACGGGAGGCAGCAGUAGGGAAUCUUCCGCAAUGGGCGAAAGCCUGACGGAGCAACGCCGCGUGAGUGAUGAAGGUCUUCGGAUCGUAAAACUCUGUUAUUAGGGAAGAACAAAUGUGUAAGUAACUAUGCACGGCUUGACGGUACCUAAUCAGAAAGCCACGGCUAACUACGUG
rnacentral:rRNA from 1 species